UACGUAGGGGGCUAGCGUUGUCCGGAAUCAUUGGGCGUAAAGCGCGUGUAGGCGGUCCUGUAAGUCCGCUGUGAAAGUCGAGGGCUCAACCCUCGAAUGCCGGUGGAUACUGUCGGGCUUGAGUACGGGAGAGGGAUGCAGAAUUCCAGGUGUAGCGGUGAAAUGCGUAGAUAUCUGGAGGAAUACCGGUGGCGAAGGCGGCAUCCUGGACCGGCAUUGACGCUGAGGAGCGAAAGCCAGGGGAGCAAACGGG
rnacentral:rRNA from 1 species